rnacentral:misc_RNA from 1 species
GGCUAAGGUUAGUUAAUCAUGAAGAAGGUGAUUCCAAUUCUAUUUGUUCUUGGAUUGGGGUUACUGUAUCUUCAAGUUGAUGCUAGAAGGCUUGUUUUAGAGCAAAUUAAAACACAAAAAAACCGAAAAUCAGCUUCAAUCCAAUGCUCCAGGGAUUAAGCCAAAUGAUGAAUAUGGGAAAUCAAGCACUUCCGGAAAUCCAU